CGAGUGGCGAACGGGUGAGUAACGCGUGAGGAACCUGCCUCAAAGAGGGGGACAACAGUUGGAAACGACUGCUAAUACCGCAUAAGCCCACGACCCGGCAUCGGGUAGAGGGAAAAGGAGCAAUCCGCUUUGAGAUGGCCUCGCGUCCGAUUAGCUAGUUGGUGAGGUAACGGCCCACCAAGGCGACGAUCGGUAGCCGGACUGAGAGGUUGAACGGCCACAUUGGGACUGAGACACGGCCCAA
rnacentral:rRNA from 1 species